rnacentral:tRNA from 1 species
GGGGAUGUAGUGCAGCGGUCUAACGCGCUGGCCUGUCAAGCCAGAGAACGCGGGUUCGAAUCCCGUCAUCCCCGCCA